CAUAUGCCGAGAGGUGAAAUGAAUUUCGCCUGAGGAUGAGCCCGCGUCUGAUUAGCUAGUUGGUGGGGUAAAGGCCUACCAAGGCAACGAUCAGUAGCUGGUCUGAGAGGAUGAUCAGCCACACUGGGACUGAGACACGGCCCAGACUCCUACGGGAGGCAGCAGUGGGGAAUUUUCCGCAAUGGGCGAAAGCCUGACGGAGCAACGCCGCGUGGGGGAUGAAGGCCUCUGGGCUGUAAACCUCUUUUCUCAAGGAAGAAGACCUGACGGUACUUGAGGAAUAAGCCACGGCUAAUUCCGUGCCAGCAGCCGCGGUAAUACGGGAGUGGCAAGCGUUAUCCGGAAUUAUUGGGCGUAAAGCGUCCGCAGGCGGCCUUGUAAGUCUGUUGUUAAAGCGUGGAGCUCAACUCCAUUUAAGCAAUGGAAACUACAAGGCUGGAGUGUGGUAGGGGCAGAGGGAAUUCCCGGUGUAGCGGUGAAAUGCGUAGAUAUCGGGAAGAACACCAGUGGCGAAGGCGCUCUGCUGGGCCAUAACUGACGCUCAUGGACGAAAGCCAGGGGAGCGAAAGGGAUUAGAUACCCCUGUAGUCCUGGCCGUAAACGAUGAACACUAGGUGUCGGGGGAAUCGACCCCCUCGGUGUCGUAGCCAACGCGUUAAGUGUUCCGCCUGGGGAGUACGCACGCAAGUGUGAAACUCAAAGGAAUUGACGGGGGCCCGCACAAGCGGUGGAGUAUGUGGUUUAAUUCGAUGCAACGCGAAGAACCUUACCAGGGUUUGACAUCCUGCGAACCCCUGAGAAAUCGGUGGGUGCCUUCGGGAGCGCAGAGACAGGUGGUGCAUGGCUGUCGUCAGCUCGUGUCGUGAGAUGUUGGGUUAAGUCCCGCAACGAGCGCAACCCACGUCUUUAGUUGCCAGCAUUCAGUUGGGCACUCUAGAGAGACCGCCGGUGAUAAACCGGAGGAAGGUGUGGAUGACGUCAAGUCAUCAUGCCCCUUACAUCCUGGGCUACACACGUACUACAAUGCUACGGACAAAGGGCAGCAAGCUCGCGAGAGUUAGCAAAUCCCAUAAACCGUGGCUCAGUUCAGAUCGUAGGCUGCAACUCGCCUACGUGAAGGAGGAAUCGCUAGUAAUCGCAGGUCAGCAUACUGCGGUGAAUACGUUCCCGGGUCUUGUACACACCGCCCGUCACACCAUGGAAGUUGGCCAUGCCCGAAGUCGUUACUCCAACCCUUGUGGAGGAGGACGCCGAAGGUGGGGCUGAUGACUGGGGUGAAGUCGUAACAAGGUA
rnacentral:rRNA from 1 species